rfam:Myotis brandtii contig254791, whole genome shotgun sequence.
GUCAGUCCUUGAGUGAUGCACCCCAGAAUUGGGCUCCUUCCUCUCUGGUUCUGGAGUGCAUCAUCCAAGAACUGCC